AUUGAACGCUGGCGGCAGGCCUAACACAUGCAAGUCGAGCGAGCGGCGGACGGGUGAGUAAUGUCUGGGAAACUGCCUGCUGGAGGGGGAUAACUACUGGAAACGGUAGCUAAUACCGCAUACCCUCAGAUGUGCCCAGAUGGGAUUAGCUCUAAGGUGGGGUAACGGCUCACCUAGGCGACGAUCUCUAGCUGGUCUGAGAGGAUGACCAGCCACACUGGAACUGAGACACGGUCCAGACUCCUACGGGAGGCAGCAGUGGGGAAUAUUGCACAAGGGGCGCAAGCCUGAUGCAGCCAUGCCGCGUGUAUGAAGAAGGCCUUCGGGUUGUAAAGCACUUUCAGCGGGGAGGCGUUACCCGCAGAAGAAGCACCGGCUAACUCCGUGCCAGCCGCCGCGGUAAUUC
rnacentral:rRNA from 1 species